AACGAACGCUGGCGGCGCGCCUAAUACAUGCAAGUCGAGCGAGAAGACGUAGCAAUACGUUUGUAAAGCGGCGAACGGGUGAGGAAUACAUGGGUAACCUACCCUCGAGUGGGGAAUAACUAGCCGAAAGGUUAGCUAAUACCGCGUACGCUCCUUGGACUUCGGUUCAGGGAGGAAAGCGAUACCGUGGGUAUCGCGCUCUUGGAUGGGCUCAUGUCCUAUCAGCUUGUUGGUGAGGAACGGCUCACCAAGGCUUCGACGGGUAGCUGGUCUGAGAGGACAAUCAGCCACACGGGCACUGCGACACGGGCCAGACUCCUACGGGA
rnacentral:rRNA from 1 species